CGUCAAGUCCUCAUGGCCCUUACAUCCCGGGCUACACACGUGCUACAAUGGCAGGUACAGAGGGCUGCGAAGCCGCGAGGUGGAGCGAAUCCCAGAAAACCUGUCUCAGUCCGGAUUGAAGUCUGCAACUCGACUUCAUGAAGGCGGAAUCGCUAGUAACCGCGAAUCAGCAGGUCGCGGUGAAUACGUUCCCGGGCCUU
rnacentral:rRNA from 1 species